GGGCGUUUGGCACAGUGGUAGCGCGCACGCUUUGCAUUUCUCAAGUUGAAGAGUGUGCGUGAGGUCGAGGGUUCAAACCCCUCAACGUCCA